UACGUAGGUGGCAAGCGUUACUCGGAAUCACUAGGCGUAAAGCGCAGGUAGGAGGUUUGGAAAGUCUGUUGUGAAAGCUCCCGGCUUAACUGGGAGAGGUCAACGGAAACUACCAGGCUAGAGUGUGGUAGAGGUAGCUGGAAUUCCCGGUGUAGCGGUGAAAUGCGUAGAUAUCGGGAGGAAUACCUAUGGCGAAAGCAGGCUACUGGACCGUCACUGACUCUGAUCUGCGAAAGCUAGGGGAGCAAACAGG
rnacentral:rRNA from 1 species